AUUCCAUGACGAGAACAUUUCUAAAGAAGAUCCUUAAAUCUCUCUCAUGCAUCUGAAACAGCUUCAUCCUCAGAUUGCUGAAACAUUAAAAUGUCAUUUCUAAACUU